GCCAUGGGCAUCUGGCACUGCGGCUCCUGCAUGAAGACCGUCGCGGGCGGCGCCUGGACCUACAACACCACUUCUGCUGUCACAGUGAAGUCCGCC
rnacentral:miRNA from 1 species